rnacentral:tRNA from 3 species
ACUUUUAAAGGAUAAGAGCUAUCCGUUGGUCUUAGGAACCAAAAAAU